CGCACGAGGCAUACUUCAGGUCUCUUCAUGCUCGGAAAACUCGAGCUAUUUAUUCUAGUCUACAAAAGCUGGAAACCACAACUGAUUACUGCCUUCAUCUGCCUUCUGGAUGUCAGAGUAGGGAGAUGAACAAAUGCUAUUUGUCCGAUAAGGAGCGGGAUGCAACACAAAUGUAUGUUUUGUUGAAUUGUGAGGAGGUUCAACAAUUCGUCCUGGAUCCGCGUCCGAGGUUCUUUCCGGAGUGGAGGAUUUAUGGAUCAGGUCCGAUGAGUAUCCGUAACGGGUGGUACAUGGACACCAUGGGUACUCUGCAGGUCAUGACUACUGAGCAAUGACAUCAGAUAGCAUGUGUGCACAAUUGUGAUACGGAGACUGCUACCCGCCCUCACAUCUAGCGUGGAGGACAUUUACUGAUAGAUUUAGGGUGAGCUUAUCCCAUGCCACGCCCCCCGAAGAUCUUCUCUUAUGAUGUCUUUUCUCAUUUUGGACAUUAUGGAUUUAUUAGUCAGAUUUCAUUCAAUAGCUAUGUUUUAGAUUAGAGUCAUAUACGAUGGCUUUCGGAUUUUAGGGAUUUUGUAAUAGUUAGAACUUCCGCACUUAUUUCAG